UUAAUUGGAGUUUUAUAGUUUUCAGUGUACAGAUUUUUCAUCUCUUUGGAUAUUACCAGAAACAUCUUUAUGUGAAUGGAAGUGUUACGUGUAAAAAUACUCGGAGUGAUUCAUCUUCCCUUGAUGUCAGAGCCAUACAUUACCAACAAACUAAGGAGGUUAAACAGCCCACAAAAUCUCUCUACCAUAGAGAGUUGUGAAAAAUUGCACUUCUACCUGUACUGCUCUCAGGGUAAAUAUCUCUUGUUUGUCUUUCUGUUUUGCUACGUAAGCAAAAUUAUUCCACUAUCCUUCAAAUGCCCCCAAUUGAAUAAGUAUGUUCCCUUAAAAACAAGCAAACACAAAUAAAAUUCAGUUGCAUAAUUAUUAUUUUUUUUUUGUCAGCACCAGAUGCCUCUAUCUUGGGAACUUAACAAUUGCUAUGGUUAAAUAAUAGCUGUCACAAUGGAAGAGUUGUCACUGAAGAUGCAGAGCAAGUGAAGUUUUUUCCUGAUUUUAUCAUUUUUAGUGACCUCAGAUAUGCUAAUUAAGUUUUAUUUCCUUUGGUUCUUAUGUAUAAAAUGGGUAUGUAUGUAUAGGGUUUUGUGAGUAUGAAGUUCAUUGAUUAUAGCAAUUUUCUUGGAACAGUGCCAAAUGCAUAGGAAAUAGUAAAAGUUUCCACAUGGAAUUGAGUUUGAACCUUAUGAAUAAAUAUAAUUAGGAGUAUGAAUUGCCUAUAACAUACAAUUAUAUUUUAUUUUAUGUUAAUGUAAAAUAUACAAAUUAGAGACUUGUAUAAUAGUCAACAUGUAUUCAAUAUGUUUUUUUUAAUCAAGGUACACAUGUACAAAUUUAAACCUCAAAUAGUUCUAAAAUGUUUAUAAUAAAAACAGCAGUAACUUUCCUCUAACUUCUUCUCUACCAGUCUUGUUAUCCAGAGCCAAACACUUCAAAUUCUUUUAGCUAUUUCUCUGUACAUGUGACACUUAUCUAAAUUAAUCCUAGAGCUGUUAUUUCUUGGUUCCAAACUUUAGAUAUCAAUUGAGAUUCUCAAAAAGACAAUCUCCUGAGUGGAGCCACUUCUCAUGAGAUAUCAGGCUUCAUCUCAUUUUGCUAAAGCACAUCUUCACAGAGCUUCUCAAUAUAACUUCAUAGCAGAUCAAUGAUUUGUUCCAUAUAUGUGUAAAAUAAUUUCAUCUGUCUUUAUAUUUGAUUUCUACUUUGGCUUGGAAUAAAAUUCAAGGCUAAUAACCAGUUUCCUUCUGAAUUUGGAAGGCAUUUCUCUACUGUCUUCUCAUAUUCAUCAUUCUUUGAGACAUCAGAUGCCCUUCAGAUAGUAGCUCCUUUGCUUUUCCUUUCAAAAUCUUCAACAUGUAUUUGUAAUCAACUAUAUGUUUCAUUCCAUUCUUAAAUGUCAUGUUUUCCAUAUAUAUCAAGAUCCUGGGUCUUUUUCAACCAGAGAUAUACAUCCACCAUUGUGAUUUUGGGUACAUUUAUAAUGUAAUUAUAUAUAUUUCAAUAAAGGUUCCCUCAUCAUUCUAA